UGCUAAAUAAGAUACGUAAAUCGUGAAUAUUCAAACAAACCUACGAUUUCGACAACAAUCUGUUCCAACAUUACACACACACAAAAGCCGUAAUGAAGUUGUUACGAGCGAGUAACAUUUCAGCAUUCCGUUCACGGACGGCGACAACAUUAAAAUCAUUAUGUUAAAUCUCUCGAUAAAACAUUUCCUGAUUAUUUACCUACGCCUAGUCUUUAGUCAAAUGGAAAAUAAUGUUUUUAAAGUUCAGUUUUUUCCAUAUCCAUCGUGAUCAGUCAGUAUGAUACUUCCUCACUCGAGCCGACCCACUAUUUACAAAACACACAAAAUAACUUUUAAAUACAAAACACCUCUGUGCAGAUUGCGUCCCGUUAAAGGGACAGUUCACUCAAAAAUGAUUUGUACUUACAAAUUAUUUGCCCUGUAAAUAAUAAGUGAUUCCAAACCUUUAAGUUUCUUUAUUCUAUUGAACACUAAAGACUGUAAGCAUUUGCUUUCAUAGUAAGAAAACACUAAUUAAAUAGUUACAGUUUUCCAGCUUUAUUUAAUACAUCUUCUUUAUUGUUUAGCAGAAAAAAAGCUAAAUAAGUUUGGAACAAAUAAAGGAUGAGGCUAAAAUGGCAGAAUUGUCAGUUUUGGUUGAGCUAUCUCUAUAAGUUAAAGUAUAUAAGUUGAUGUUCAUAUGCCUAAUUAAUAUAGAUAUCAAUAAAAAGGUCUGCUAGUCUAAAUUUCUAUUUUGAUUGAUCUUUUGAUGUUUUAUUUAAAACCCACUCUUUUAUUUGCUCAGCAGGCUAUUUUCACAUGGAGGUAAUCUUCUAUUGAUAAUUUCUGGAUUUUAAUUAUGUGUAAGUUGCAUAAAACUCUAUUGUUUAACCACUCACUCACUGUUGUUUGCAAAUUACUCGUGUAACUUGUCUUUCAGAAUGUUUUCAGCUGUUGAAUUCACCUCAGAUCAGUGUUGCUGUAAUUCCCGAUCUAUGGAAAGAAUAAUUGGAUGAGCGAGCAACGCCACAACUACAGGGCCUGUUCUUUCUCUUCUCAUCAUUUAACUGGAUUAUCUGUUGAAUUUGUUUCUUCCUCUGACUGCUUUCUCCAUACCAACAACU